AACGAAGUCCAUUUUAACAUGCAAAAUUGACCCGGGUUUUAGUUGAAGAUUGAACCCGAGCCAUUUCUGCUUGUUCUGAUGGCCUCACU
rnacentral:pre_miRNA from 1 species